UACGGAGGGUGCAAGCGUUAUCCGGAUUCACUGGGUUUAAAGGGCGCGUAGGCGGCCUGCUAAGUCGAACGUGAAAUCCCUGGGCUCAACCCAGGAACUGCGUCCGAUACUGGUUGGCUUGAAUCCGGGAGAGGGAUGCGGAAUUCCAGGUGUAGCGGUGAAAUGCGUAGAUAUCUGGAGGAACACCGGUGGCGAAGGCGGCAUCCUGGACCGGCAUUGACGCUGAGGCGCGAAAGCCAGGGGAGCAAACGGG
rnacentral:rRNA from 1 species